rnacentral:rRNA from 1 species
ACGUUCGGAUUGUAGUCUGCAACUCGCCUACAUGAAGUCGGAAUCGCUAGUAAUCGCGGAUCAGCAUGCCGCGGUGAAUACGUUCCCGGGCCUUGUACACACCGCCCGUCACACCAUGAGAGUUUGUAACACCCAAAGCCGGUGGGGUAACCUUUUGGAGCCAGCCGUCUAAGGUGGGACAGAUGAUUGGGGUGAAGUCGUAACAAGGUAAC